rnacentral:pre_miRNA from 13 species
UAAUUUGUUUGGAGAAAAUUCUCAUUUAGUUAUGAAAUAUCCACACUUGAAUGCUUAAAAUCACCUAUUAUUACAAGUCCAACUAUAUCAUUGACAUUGAAAAACAUGGAAUAACUACUACGUUAACAGUAACUUUUUGAGAUUUUAA